rnacentral:rRNA from 1 species
GACGAACGCUGGCGGCGUGCUUAACACAUGCAAGUCGAACGAUGAAGCAAAGAAUUGAAGCUUCGGCAGAAAUUCAUUUCGGAUUAGUGGCAGACGGGUGAGUAACGCGUGAGCAACCUACCUCUUACAAAGGGAUAGCCUCGGGAAACCGGGAUUAAUACCAUAUAACAUUGCGACGAAGCAUUUCGAUGCAAUCAAAGCUACGGCGGUAAGAGAUGGGCUCGCGUCCCAUUAACCAGAUGGUGAGGUAACGGCUCACCAUAGUAACGAUGGGUAACCGGCCUGAGAGGGUGAACGGUCACACUGGAACUGAGGCACGGUCCAGACUCCUACGGGAGGCAGCAGUGGGGAAUAUUGCACAAUGGAGGGAACUCUGAUGCAGCGACGCCGCGUGAGUGAUGAAGGAAUUCGUUUCGUAAAACUCUGUUCUAUGGGAAGAAAAGGACUGUACCAUAGGAGAAAGCUCCGGCUAAAUACGUG